rnacentral:lncRNA from 1 species
AUCCUAACUCCUAUGAGAUUUGUUCAACUUCCUGGUGAGUCUACACUACUUUAUGUAUCCAAAUCAAGCUUCUUACAUUGCUACUCAUUCUGGUUUAAUUAGAAUGACGAAGAAGUUGUAAUAUUCCCAAACAUGAAAACUGGGAUCACGUGAUUUGAAAGUGGGAUAACUUCUUCAUCCUAACUCCUAUGAGUUUAUUCAACUUCC